AUGAUAGAGUUUAUAUACAUACAAAGGCAAAAGCUGAAUACAAUACGCCUUUUUGUUAUUUUUCAUUUUCUUUUUACAGAAAUCUUUUAUCUUUUCCACACAGACGUAAGGCAGUAUUUUUUGUGAACAUGAAAAUAUCAUUUAAAAAAAAGACAUGAAAGAUGACCAGCUUUGGGUUAAAGUUGACAUUUUCCCCAUUUAUUUUUCUUCAUUAAAUGAAAGGGGAAAGGCCGAGAAUCCUCCUUGACAGUGUUUCUGUGUACUGUGUAGAAAAAGAGCAUGAAUCAUUAGAAAAGAUAGACCCUUGCUGUAACAGAAGGCAGGGUUGCUGGAGCCAAGAGAGCAUGAUGUGGAUGGGGUGAUAUUGAGGUCUGACACUCUCUUAGAACAAAAUCCAGAGGG